UCAGUCCAGGUGGUCGCCUUCGCCACUGGUGUUCCUUCCUAUAUCUACGCAUUUCACCGCUACACAGGAAAUUCCACCACCCUCUACCAUACUCUAGCUUGUCAGUUUUGAAUGCAGUUCCCAGGUUGAGCCCGGGGCUUUCACAUCCAACUUAACAAACCACCUACGCGCGCUUUACGCCCAGUAAUUCCGAUUAACGCUUGCACCCUCUGUAUUACCGCGGCUGCUGGCACAGAGUUAGCCGGUGCUUAUUCUGUCGGUAACGUCAAAACCAUCACGUAUUAGGUAAUGGCCCUUCCUCCCAACUUAAAGUGCUUUACAAUCCGAAGACCUUCUUCACACACGCGGCAUGGCUGGAUCAGGCUUUCGCCCAUUGUCCAAUAUUCCCCACUGCUGCCUCCCGUAGGAGUCUGGACCGUGUCUCAGUUCCAGUGUGACUGAUCAUCCUCUCAGACCAGUUACGGAUCGUCGCCUUGGUGAGCCAUUACCUCACCAACUAGCUAAUCCGACCUAGGCUCAUCUGAUAGCGCAAGGCCCGAAGGUCCCCUGCUUUCUCCCGUAGGACGUAUGCGGUAUUAGCGUUCGUUUCCGAACGUUAUCCCCCACUACCAGGCAGAUUCCUAGGCAUUACUCACCCGUCCGCCGCUCUCAAGAGAAGCAAGCUUCUCUCUACCGCUCGACUUGCAUGUGUUAGGCCUG
rnacentral:rRNA from 1 species